rnacentral:rRNA from 1 species
GACGAACGCUGGCGGCGUGCUUAACACAUGCAAGUCGAACGGAAAGGCCCUGCUUUUGUUGGGUGCUCGAGUGGCGAACGGGGGAGUAACACGUGAGUAACCUGCCCUUGACUUUGGGAUAACUUCAGGAAACUGGGGCUAAUACCGGAUAGGAGCUCCUGCUGCAUGGUGGGGGUUGGAAAGUUUCGGCGGUUGGGGAUGGACUAGCGGCUUAUCCGCUUGUUGGUGAGGUAGUGGCUUACCAAGGCUUUGACGGGUAGCCGGCCUGAGAGGGUGACCGGCCACAUUGGGACUGAGGUACGGCCCAGACUCCUACGGGAGGCAGCAGUGGAGAAUAUUGCACAAUGGGCGGAAGCCUGAUGCAGCAACGCCGCGUGCGGGAUGACGUCCUUCGGGUUGUAAACCGCUUUCGCCUGUGACGAAGCGUGAGUGACGGUAAUGGGUAAGGAAGCACCGGCUAACUACGUG